rnacentral:rRNA from 1 species
GAGGAGCGCUGCUAACCAUGCAGUCGACGAUGACCGGUUUCGGCCGGGGAUUAGUGGCGAACGGGUGAGUAACACGUGGGCAAUCUGCCCUGCACUCUGGGACAAGCCCUGGAAACGGGGUCUAAUACCGGAUACGACUGCCGACCGCAUGGUCUGGUGGUGGAAAGCUCCGGCGGUGCAGGAUGAGCCCGCGGCCUAUCAGCUUGUUGGUGGGGUGAUGGCCUACCAAGGCGACGACGGGUAGCCGGCCUGAGAGGGCGACCGGCCACACUGGGACUGAGACACGGCCCAGACUCCUACGGGAGGCAGCAGUGGGGAAUAUUGCACAAUGGGCGCAAGCCUGAUGCAGCGACGCCGCGUGAGGGAUGACGGCCUUCGGGUUGUAAACCUCUUUCAGCAGGGAAGAAGCGUGAGUGACGGUACCUGCAGAAGAAGCGCCGGCUAACUACGUGCCAGCAGCCGCGGUAAUACGUAGGGCGCAAGCGUUGUCCGGAAUUAUUGGGCGUAAAGAGCUCGUAGGCGGCUUGUCGCGUCGGAUGUGAAAGCCCGGGGCUUAACUCCGGGUCUGCAUUCGAUACGGGCAGGCUAGAGUUCGGUAGGGGAGAUCGGAAUUCCUGGUGUAGCGGUGAAAUGCGCAGAUAUCAGGAGGAACACCGGUGGCGAAGGCGGAUCUCUGGGCCGAUACUGACGCUGAGGAGCGAAAGCGUGGGAAGGCCAAACAGAAAAUGGGGAAAA